rnacentral:rRNA from 1 species
CCUACGGGAGUCAGCAGUGGGGAAUAUUGCACAAUGGGGGAAACCCUGAUGCAGCGACGCCGCGUGAGUGAAGAAGUAUCUCGGUACGUAAAGCUCUAUCAGCAGGGAAGAAAAUGACGGUACCUGACUAAGAAGCCCCGGCUAACUACGUGCCAGCAGCCGCGGUAAUACGUGGGGGGCGAGCGUUAUCCGGAUUUACUGGGUGUAAAGGGAGCGUAGACGGCAGCACAAGUCUGGAGUGAAAGCCCGGGGCUUAACCCCGGAACUGCUUUGGAAACUGUGCGGCGGGAGUGCAGGAGGGGUAAGCGGAAUUCCUAGUGUAGCGGUGAAAUGCGUAGAUAUUAGGAGGAACACCGGUGGCGAAGGCGGCUUACUGGACUGUAACUGACGUUGAGGCUCGAAAGCGUGGGGAGCAAACAGGAUUAGAUACCCGGGUAGUC